UCAAAAAAUACCAAGUUACGUACUUGAAGUCAAACCGAAGGCAGAGCUGCGAAGCAAAUCCAAGUCUGUCUUGUCACAGCUGUGUGUCCUACUUCUCUUGGAUCAGCCUCUUCCCGGCUUUCAUUCCAGUGAGCAGCAAACAGCGCUCCCGGGGACAUCUGGGCACUCUCCCUUCUAACACUGGAGAGGGGACGCAGUCAUUUUAGGUCAGUACCCUCUCUGACAGAUGAAAGAUUUAACGCAGUCGACGGGAAAAACACUUACCCCCAUCUCCAUCUAAUUAGUGACAGACGGCGAGCUGGGGGCCCUGUCUCUUGGAAGUGUGCAAGGGCUCUCGCCACCUCACCUCCCUUUUCCUCCCAGAAGCUUCAGAACAGCUCUGAGGCCAGAACGUGACUUCCUCGGAGACCUGAUGACGGUGAUGUGGGCGGGGACCUCCGGGAAGAAGGAGGAAGUCAAGUCACCGGGUUCGCAGCUGGCCUGUCUGCUACCCCCCAGAGAGGGACCCAGCACCUCAGGCGUGGAGCCAGCCCUCCAGGCCUGGGCCUCUUUGCUGGCUAGGACUGGGCCCCUUUCGGAAGAGCUGCGGCCCAGUAAAAGAUAAAGUUGUGUCUGUGUGUGGAAGUGGAGUGGGAUGAGGGGGAGCUUCUUCCUGUGCAAUGUCCAAGUAAAUGUAGUUUAGGGUAGGAAGGAAUAUGCUGGCUUUCGGGUUUUCUCCUGGAUGGGACAGAGCCCUUCCAUGGCAAAUGAUUUCAGGGUCAACACAGAAUUUUGAGAGUUUAUCUUGAAAAGUGAAGCCUGCUAAUGCAAGUUUUCUAACAUUGCCAAAUCUUGGGAACUGUUUGGGUUUUAAAAUCACUGAGCACUGGAGCAACUGCUUUUCCCUUCCAAGCCACUCUUUUGUGAAAUGAGGCUAAAAUACCUGGGCAGCCCUUUUCCCUUGGGCACCCUGGAAUGCUGGGACUAUGAAUGGCAUCUCAGAAGAGUUGGAGCUCUUCUGGGGAAGGCUCCUUAAAAAGUUAAAAAUGAGCCUCCCUAAGACCCAGCAAUUGCACUACUAGAUAUUUAUCUAGUCAGGGAAGGGAAGUCAGACCACGAAAGGACAAGGCUCUCUCCUUUAAAAACAAAGUCCUCCUUUUUUUAAUCACAAAAGUAAUUACUACUCAUUGUACACAAGUUAGAUUUUUUUUUUUGAAUCAGAAAGAAGAUUAAAAAAAAUUGAAAUCCCACACUGAGGAAACCAUCGUUGACAAUUUGAUGUAUAGCAUUAAAUGUAAGCAGACUGAACACACUGCUUUUUUCCUUUAACAGCCUUUUUUCCUUGAAUAAAAUAUCAUGACAUGCCCCUAAA